CAGUCUGACGCCGGAGGUCAGGCUGCUUCUCGCCUCUGUCCAGCUGUGUGGCCUUGGACAAGCCUCUUGGUCACACAGCUGGACAGAGGGACGAAACAGCCUGACCUGAGAGGC
rnacentral:ncRNA from 2 species